GACAGAGGGUGCAAACGUUGUUCGGAUUUACUGGGCGUAAAGCGCGUGUAGGCGGCUUUGCAAGUCGGAUGUGAAAUCCCACGGCUCAACCGUGGAAGUGCAUCCGAAACUGCAUCGCUCGAGUCUCGGAGAGGAAGGUGGAAUGCUUGGUGUAGAGGUGGAAAUUCGUAGAUAUCAAGCAGAACACCUGCGGCGAAGGCGGCCUUCUGGACGAUGACUGACGCUGAGACGCGAAAGCGUGGGGAGCAAACAGG
rnacentral:rRNA from 1 species